rnacentral:rRNA from 1 species
AGGACGAACGCUGGCGGCGUGCUUAACACAUGCAAGUCGAGCGGUAAGGCCCUUUCGGGGGUACACGAGCGGCGAACGGGUGAGUAACACGUGAGCAAUCUGCCCUUCACUUCGGGAUAAGCCUCGGAAACGGGGUCUAAUACCGGAUAUGACCGCGCUACGCAUGUGGUGUGGUGGAAAGUUCUGGGCGGUGGAGGAUGAGCUCGCGGCCUAUCAGUCUUGUUGGUGGGUAAUGGCCUACCAAGGUCUUCGGACGGGUAGCCGGUCCUGAGGAGGGUCGACCGGGCCACACUGGGACUGAGACACGG